GGAAACUCACUUCGGCCGCAAGUAUCCGUGAUCUUGUUCUUUCGGUCACGACCCGCAGCUCGAGAUCAUAAUUGAGGGUGUUUACGAAAAAGAGGACAGACCUAUUCAAGUAGCCCAAACAUGUGAAGAAGACGGCUCUCGAGGAGCUGAACGGGGACGACGCGAGGAAAGAGCAAGAAGUCGGUUCCCAACCCUGCCGUGGCGCAAAACCCUACUUUCACAUCCUUGAAACUGGUCAGUCGAAAAAAUUUUCUCAUGUAAAAUACCCAACAACAACAAAAUUCUGUCUUUUUAAAUGAAGGAAAAUGGUACUCUAUGAUAUUGUACUUUGUAAAGACAUACACUACUCACAAAAAAAAAAAAAAAAAAAAAAAAGACAUUUAAGUCUGUAUGUGCCUUGGUUCAAUUAAGGUCAGUAAACACUGAGCCUGCACGGAAAACCGGACAACUGGGGGAAUUCUGUAUCCAUCAAUACCAGUGCUUUUCAUGAGAAAGUGAGCAAAAUGGCAAUAUUUUACUGUAUAGAUAGAUAGAUAGAUAUUUCGUCCAGUACUUGAAUAAUUGCCCCCACACACCCUUUUUUCUUUUAAAUCCUAACAUGCGCUUUAUUCUCAUUUAUGAGGGCUGAAAUUCUAUCCUUAAACUACAUACGUUGGUCCUCAGUUUAUGGUAUAAACUCUGUAAAAAAUUUGACGCAUAAUAAGUUUUUGCUAAAUGAUUAGCAUUCGUGAUUAGCUUUAGCGCGCUGGCGGUUAGCAUUCGCGAUAAGCAUUAGCACGCUACCGAUGACCAUAUUAGGGGGGAGACAAAAAUAAAAAAUUCCCAUUCAGAUCACUUAUACAUAAUGUUAUUUGUGCGUUACACAUUUAAAAAUGUCUUAAAAUCACUUACAGACGCUCCUGUCGUUUACACUGGGCAAAACUGCAUGCAUCUGCAACAAAUGUCCGUGCGGUAAACAAGGACAAUGGCCAAACAGGUCCGGGCGGCGCAUAUUGGUUCCGGGAAGCGCAAAUAAUGCUUUUAUUUUAUUAUUAUUUUACGUUUUAUUGCCUCGAAGCAAAACAUUUUGCGUAGGCCAAUUUUUAUGGUCGAUUGAGCCGAGCUAGCCGAUUUUCCUUCACAGCCAUAGUCGUGAGUCUUCACCGUGAUGGAUGUUGUAAGGCAUCUGGUGGGCCGCAGGUAGCAAAGGCUAAUUAUGGCCUCAUUGACAUUGUCAAACACAAGCAAUAUUCAUAAUUGAUCAUGGCUGUGUUUCCCCAUUACUCGUAUUGAUCCUCGCACGACUUGUUUUUAAGCUGCUGAGCAAGAUACGCGUAAGGAAAAACACGCUGUGAUGUCGAUCAAUACCUUUUCUUCUUUUGAACAUUUUGAUCUUUUUUUCCGCCCCCUAAAGAGAAAGCAAGGUUUUUAUAUUUCAUGUGUAAUUCUAUUCACCCCGAAGAUUUGCAGGGGCGACGCAAACUUAGCCAACAUGAACAUCAUCAGCAAACAUAUGCUCACCGAUGUCAUGUUUUGCAGGAGCAAGAAACCCUAACCUUGGUUUGAAACACUAAUUCUGAAACCAGAACUUAAAAUCGAAACCCAGAUUUCAAAAACUAAUUUGAAACCCUGACCCUGAAAUCGUAAACCUGAUCCCACUUCUGUCUUUCUUUUCCUCUUUACACUGCCAUUUGGUUUAUCCCAAAAAUUGGAACCACGCGGCGUAAAUGCAGCCUCGAAAACACACCACACGAUGAUUAAAAGCUGUCAAACGCAUCAUCAUAAAGUGGUUCUUAUUUGGACAUUGGACAGCAACGGUAUAUCGUAACACAUCGAUGUGUUGCCCCAUCGCGCACACUCUCGCUCGCUGUAGAUUAUGAUCUUCUCUUACUGUAUGGCCUCUCUCUCUCUCUCUGUUUCCCUUCCGAGUAAAAGUGAUCAAUUGAUCUCGAUCCUGCUCGGUAAGCCAGCAGUGAAUUGAAAGAUCGGAGCGUCGGCCGCCUUCCGCCGAUUCAAAUGAGUCAUCGGCGUGCUUUGAGAUUGCAUUUAUUUAUGCUGUGGAGCAAAACGGCACAUGUGUGUACUAUAGUAGAUCAUGUGUGAUAGUGUCUGGACAAGUUUUACAAGCCGCUCGCGGAAUAAGGCACGUGCAUACACAGACCCCAAGUGGUGGUCAAGCACCUGUCCUUUUGUCCUGGAUGAAAAGACUCCCCUUUUUGCCCAUUUUUUCUACAUUCAGAUAUUUAAAAAAAUAAUAAUAAUAACGUUACCCUCUCUGUUAUCAAUGUGGUAUAUGCGCAACCUACGUACGCACUUUGCAACGCGGGUAAAAGCACUUCCUCCUCGCUCGGGUGAAUGGGGAACAUGCUUGUUAGCAUAAAAUACACAGUAAGUCAGCUAUCCCGUGCUCCGAAUUGGUCAUGUGAAGUUCCGCCUACCAGGAACUCUUGAGGGGGGGGGGGCGAGAUGUGCUGAUGAAUGCUGAUUGGUUGAUACAUACGUCUGUCAGAGUCACAUCUUAACUUUUCACAUUUCCCAGAGCCGCCAUUUCUGGAAGUAAAGGAACCCAGGCUUUCUGUCUGCUUGGUU